UACAGGCUUAACACAUGCAAGUCGAGGGGCAGCAUUUUAGUUUGCUUGCAAACUGAAGAUGGCGACCGGCGCACGGGUGAGUAACACGUAUCCAACCUGCCGAUAACUCCGGGAUAGCCUUUCGAAAGAAAGAUUAAUACCGGAUAGCAUACGAAUAUCGCAUGAUAUUUUUAUUAAAGAAUUUCGGUUAUCGAUGGGGAUGCGUUCCAUUAGUUUGUUGGCGGGGUAACGGCCCACCAAGACUACGAUGGAUAGGGGUUCUGAGAGGAAGGUCCCCCACAUUGGAACUGAGACACGGUCCAAACUCCUACGGGAGGCAGCAGUGAGGAAUAUUGGUCAAUGGGCGCGAGCCUGAACCAGCCAAGUAGCGUGAAGGAUGAAGGCUCUAUGGGUCGUAAACUUCUUUUAUAUGGGAAUAAAGUUUUCCACGUGUGGAAUUUUGUAUGUACCAUAUGAAUAAGGAUCGGCUAACUCCGUGCCAGCAGCCGCGGUAAUACGGAGGAUCCGAGCGUUAUCCGGAUUUAUUGGGUUUAAAGGGAGCGUAGGUGGAUUGUUAAGUCAGUUGUGAAAGUUUGCGGCUCAACCGUAAAAUUGCAGUUGAAACUGGCAGUCUUGAGUACAGUAGAGGUGGGCGGAAUUCGUGGUGUAGCGGUGAAAUGCUUAGAUAUCACGAAGAACUCCGAUUGCGAAGGCAGCUCACUAGACUGUCACUGACACUGAUGCUCGAAAGUGUGGGUAUCAAACAGGAUUAGAUACCCUGGUAGUCCACACAGUAAACGAUGAAUACUCGCUGUUUGCGAUAUACAGUAAGCGGCCAAGCGAAAGCAUUAAGUAUUCCACCUGGGGAGUACGCCGGCAACGGUGAAACUCAAAGGAAUUGACGGGGCCCGCACAAGCGGAGGAACAUGUGGUUUAAUUCGAUGAUACGCGAGGAACCUUACCCGGGCUUAAAUUGCAACAGAAUAUAUUGGAAACAGUAUAGCCGUAAGGCUGUUGUGAAGGUGCUGCAUGGUUGUCGUCAGCUCGUGCCGUGAGGUGUCGGCUUAAGUGCCAUAACGAGCGCAACCCUUAUCUUUAGUUACUAACAGGUCAUGCUGAGGACUCUAGAGAGACUGCCGUCGUAAGAUGUGAGGAAGGUGGGGAUGACGUCAAAUCAGCACGGCCCUUACGUCCGGGGCUACACACGUGUUACAAUGGGGGGUACAGAAGGCGGCUACCUGGUGACAGGAUGCUAAUCCCAAAAACCUCUCUCAGUUCGGAUCGAAGUCUACAACCCGACUUCGUGAAGCUGGAUUCGCUAGUAAUCGCGCAUCAGCCAUGGCGCGGUGAAUACGUUCCCGGGCCUUGUACACACCGCCCGUCAAGCCAUGAAAGCCGGGGGUACCUGAAGUACGUAACCGCAAGGAGCGUCCUAGGGUAAAACUGGUAAUUGGG
rnacentral:rRNA from 1 species